UUGACUCAGAAAAAAUUUCAU
ensembl:piRNA 21ur-10953 ncRNA